rnacentral:rRNA from 1 species
AGAGUUUGAUCAUGGCUCAGAUUGAACGCUGGCGGAAUGCUUUACACAUGCAAGUCGGGCGGCAGCACGGGGGCAACCCUGGUGGCGAGCGGCGAACGGGUGAGUAAUACAUCGGAACGUACCCUGUCGUGGGGGAUAACGAAUCGAAAGAUUCGCUAAUACCGCAUACGACCUGAGGGUGAAAGCGGGGGAUCGCAAGACCUCGCGCGAUAGGAGCGGCCGAUGUCGGAUUAGCUAGUUGGUGGGGUAAAGGCUCACCAAGGCGACGAUCCGUAGCGGGUCUGAGAGGACGGCCCGCCACACUGGGACUGAGACACGGCCCAGACUCCUACGGGAGGCAGCAGUGGGGAAUUUUGGACAAUGGGGCAACCCUGAUCCAGCCAUUCCGCGUGAGUGAAGAAGGCCUUCGGGUUGUAAAGCUCUUUCGGCAGGAACGAAACGGCGGGCUCUAACAUAGCCUGUCAAUGACGGUACCUGAAGAAGAAGCACCGGCUAACUACGUGCCAGCAGCCGCGGUAAUACGUAGGGUGCGAGCGUUAAUCGGAAUUACUGGGCGUAAGGCGUGCGCAGGCGGCUUUGUAAGACAGGUGUGAAAUCCCCGGGCUUAACCUGGGAACUGCGCUUGUGACUGCAAGGCUCGAGUGCGGCAGAGGGGGGUGGAAUUCCACGUGUAGCAGUGAAAUGCGUAGAGAUGUGGAGGAACACCGAUGGCGAAGGCAGCCCCCUGGGUCGACACUGACGCUCAUGCACGAAAGCGUGGGUAGCAAACAGGAUUAGAUACCCUGGUAGUCCACGCCCUAAACGAUGCCAACUAGGUGUUGGGGAAGGAGACUUCCUUAGUACCGUAGCUAACGCGUGAAGUUGGCCGCCUGGGGAGUACGGUCGCAAGAUUAAAACU